AGAGUUUGAUCCUGGCUCAGGAUGAACGCUGGCGGCGUGCCUAACACAUGCAAGUCGAACGGAGCUGCUUUGAUGAAGUUUUCGGAUGGAUUUAAAACAGCUUAGUGGCGGACGGGUGAGUAACGCGUGGGUAACCUGCCUCACACUGGGGGAUAACAGUUAGAAAUAGCUGCUAAUACCGCAUAAGCGCACAGUUCCGCAUGGAACAGUGUGAAAAACUCCGGUGGUGUGAGAUGGACCCGCGUCUGAUUAGCCAGUUGGCGGGGUAACGGCCCACCAAAGCGACGAUCAGUAGCCGGCCUGAGAGGGUGAACGGCCACAUUGGGACUGAGACACGGCCCAAACUCCUACGGGAGGCAGCAGUGGGGAAUAUUGCACAAUGGGGGAAACCCUGAUGCAGCGACGCCGCGUGAGUGAAGAAGUAUUUCGGUAUGUAAAGCUCUAUCAGCAGGGAAGAAAGUGACGGUACCUGAAUAAGAAGCCCCGGCUAACUACGUGCCAGCAGCCGCGGU
rnacentral:rRNA from 1 species